rnacentral:rRNA from 1 species
AUGACGGUAAUCAUGCGAAUAAGCCCCGGCUAAUUACGUGCCAGCAGCCGCGGUAACACGUAAGGGGCGAGCGUUGUUCGGAAUUAUUGGGCGUAAAGGGUAUGUAGGCGGUUAGGUAAGCCCUGGUGUGAAAUCUACGAAGCUCAACUCGUAAACUGCAUUGGGUACUGCUUGACUUGAAUCACGGAGGGGAAACCGGAAUUCCAAGUGUAGGGGUGGAAUCUGUAGAUAUUUGGAAGAACACCGGUGGCGAAGGCGGGUUUCUGGCCGAUGAUUGACGCUGAUAUACGAAGGUGCGGGAGCAAACAGAUUAGAUACCCGGUAAUCCGCACAGUAACGAUGUACACUAGGUGUCGGAGCAGAGCUUCGGUGCGACGCAACGCAUAGUGUACGCCUGGAGUAUGCCGCAGGUAACUCAAGAUGACGGGCACCACGUGACUUGUAUCAUAUCCAACUAUGUGAUAC